rnacentral:rRNA from 1 species
CGUAGGGGCGAGCGUUGUCCGGAUUCAUUGGGCGUAAAGCGCUCGCAGGCGGUCCGUCGCGUCCGGCGUGAAGGCCCCCGGCUCAACCGGGGGUGGUCGUCGGAUACGGGCGGACUGGAGGUAGGUAGGGGGACGCGGAAUUCCCGGUGUAGUGGUGGAAUGCGUAGAGAUCGGGAGGAACACCGGCGGCGAAGGCGGCGUCCUGGACCUGGCCUGACGCUCAGGAGCGAAAGCGUGGGGAGCGAUCCGGAUUAGAUACCCGGGUAGUCCACGCCGUAAACGAUGCGGACUAGGUGUCGGGGGUAUCGACCCCCCCGGUGCCGCAGCCAACGCGAUAAGUCCGCCGCCUGGGGAGUACGGCCGCAAGGCUA